rnacentral:rRNA from 2 species
GAACGGUAACAGGAAGCAGCUUGCUGCUUUGCUGACGAGUGGCGGACGGGUGAGUAAUGUCUGGGAAACUGCCUGAUGGAGGGGGAUAACUACUGGAAACGGUGGCUAAUACCGCAUAACGUCGCAAGACCAAAGAGGGGGACCUUCGGGCCUCUUGCCAUCAGAUGUGCCCAGAUGGGAUUAGCUUGUUGGUGAGGUAACGGCUCACCAAGGCGACGAUCCCUAGCUGGUCUGAGAGGAUGACCAGCCACACUGGAACUGAGACACGGUCCAGACUCCUACGGGAGGCAGCAGUGGGGAAUAUUGCACAAUGGGCGCAAGCCUGAUGCAGCCAUGCCGCGUGUAUGAAGAAGGCCUUCGGGUUGUAAAGUACUUUCAGCGGGGAGGAAGGUGUUGUGGUUAAUAACCGCAGCAAUUGACGUUACCCGCAGAAGAAGCACCGGCUAACUCCGUGCCAGCAGCCGCGGUAAUACGGAGGGUGCAAGCGUUAAUCGGAAUUACUGGGCGUAAAGCGCACGCAGGCGGUCUGUCAAGUCGGAUGUGAAAUCCCCGGGCUCAACCUGGGAACUGCAUUCGAAACUGGCAGGCUUGAGUCUUGUAGAGGGGGGUAGAAUUCCAGGUGUAGCGGUGAAAUGCGUAGAGAUCUGGAGGAAUACCGGUGGCGAAGGCGGCCCCCUGGACAAAGACUGACGCUCAGGUGCGAAAGCGUGGGGAGCAAACAGGAUUAGAUACCCUGGUAGUCCACGCCGUAAACGAUGUCUACUUGGAGGUUGUGCCCUUGAGGCGUGGCUUCCGGAGCUAACGCGUUAAGUAGACCGCCUGGGGAGUACGGCCGCAAGGUUAAAACUCAAAUGAAUUGACGGGGGCCCGCACAAGCGGUGGAGCAUGUGGUUUAAUUCGAUGCAACGCGAAGAACCUUACCUGGUCUUGACAUCCACAGAAGAAUCCAGAGAUGGAUUUGUGCCUUCGGGAACUGUGAGACAGGUGCUGCAUGGCUGUCGUCAGCUCGUGUUGUGAAAUGUUGGGUUAAGUCCCGCAACGAGCGCAACCCUUAUCCUUUGUUGCCAGCGGUUAGGCCGGGAACUCAAAGGAGACUGCCAGUGAUAAACUGGAGGAAGGUGGGGAUGACGUCAAGUCAUCAUGGCCCUUACGACCAGGGCUACACACGUGCUACAAUGGCGCAUACAAAGAGAAGCGACCUCGCGAGAGCAAGCGGACCUCAUAAAGUGCGUCGUAGUCCGGAUUGGAGUCUGCAACUCGACUCCAUGAAGUCGGAAUCGCUAGUAAUCGUGGAUCAGAAUGCCACGGUGAAUACGUUCCCGGGCCUUGUACACACCGCCCGUCACACCAUGGGAGUGGGUUGCAAAAGAAGUAGGUAGCUUAACCUUCGGGAGGGCGCUUACCACUUUGUGAUUCAUGACUGGGGUGAAGUCGUAACAAGGUAACCGUAGGGGAACCUGCGGUUGGA